rnacentral:rRNA from 1 species
GACGAACGCUGGCGGCGUGCUUGACACAUGCAAGUCGAACGGAAAGGCCUGCUUUCCCUUGUGGAUUGCGGGUACUCGAGUGGCGAACGGGUGAGUAACACGUGAGUGAUCUGCCCCCAACUUGGGUAUAAGCCUGGGAAACUGGGUCUAAUUCCCGAUAGGACUGCAGGGUGGUGCCUGUGGUGGAAAACGAUUUUCUAGUGGUUGGGGAUGAGCUCGCGGCCUAUCAGCUUGUUGGUGGGGUAAUGGCCUACCAAGGCGGCGACGGGUAGCCGGCCUGAGAGGGUGGACGGCCACAUUGAGACUGGGAUACGGCCCAGACGCCUACGGGAGGCAGCAGUGGGGAAUAUUGCACAAUGGGCGGAAGCCUGAUGCAGCGACGCCGCGUGGGGGAUGACGGCCUUCGGGUUGUAAACUCCUUUCGACCGCGAGGAAGCCACCUGGUUGGAAGGGUGGUGACGGUAGUGGUAGAAGAAGCACCGGCUAACUACGUG